AUUGAACGCUGGCGGCAUGCUUUACACAUGCAAGUCGAACGGUAACAGGUUAAGCUGACGAGUGGCGAACGGGCGAGUAAUGCAUCGGAACGUGCCCGAUCGCGGGGGAUAACGCAGCGAAAGCUGCGCUAAUACCGCAUACGAUCUGAGGAUGAAAGCGGGGGACCGUAAGGCCUCGCGCGAUCGGAGCGGCCGAUGUCAGAUUAGGUAGUUGGUGGGGUAAAGGCCCACCAAGCCGACGAUCUGUAGCUGGUCUGAGAGGACGACCAGCCACACUGGGACUGAGACACGGCCCAGACUCCUACGGGAGGCAGCAGUGGGGAAUUUUGGACAAUGGGCGAAAGCCUGAUCCAGCAAUGCCGCGUGCAGGAAGAAGGCCUUCGGGUUGUAAACUGCUUUUGUACGGAGCGAAAAGGUCCUUUCUAAUACAAGGGGCUCAUGACGGUACCGUAAGAAUAAGCACCGGCUAACUACGUGCCAGCAGCCGCGGUAA
rnacentral:rRNA from 1 species